GACGAACGCUGGCGGCGUGCCUAAUACAUGCAAGUCGAGCGGACCGAAGGGAGCUUGCUCUUUUAGGUUAGCGGCGGACGGGUGAGUAACACGUGGGCAACCUGCCCUGCAGACUGGGAUAACUUCGGGAAACCGGAGCUAAUACCGGAUAACACCGAAAACCGCAUGGUUUUCGGUUGAAAGGCGGCUUUUAGCUGUCACUGCAGGAUGGGCCCGCGGCGCAUUAGCUAGUUGGUGAGGUAACGGCUCACCAAGGCGACGAUGCAUAGCCGAGUUGAGAGACUGAUCGGCCACAUUGGGACUGAGACACGGCCCAA
rnacentral:rRNA from 1 species